UGUAUAUAUUAGAUACUUAAACACAAUUUGACUAAAAUUGCAUCUAUUAGAUACUUAAUCACCUUUGGUUUUAUCAUGAAUAUGAGUGGCAUUGUAGCCACACAAAAAUGUAUUAGGUUAAUGUAAUUUGUAUCUAAUAGACUCAUGUAUGCUUAUAAAUGCUUGAAUGAAUAUAAUUAUGUGAUAAUCAUGUUAUCUUUAUUUAAUAAUUAUUUCACAUGAUUACAUCUUUAUUUUAUUACAAUUCAUUUAUUUUACAUUGGCUAAGCAGCGACACAUAUUCCCAAUGCACUUUGUAACAGCAUGUACGGAGCAGAUGUUAUCAC
rnacentral:lncRNA from 1 species